GUUUGAUCCUGGCUCAGAUUGAACGCUGGCGGCAUGCCUUACACAUGCAAGUCGAACGGUAACAGGUCUUCGGAUGCUGACGAGUGGCGAACGGGUGAGUAAUACAUCGGAACGUGCCCGAGAGUGGGGGAUAACGAGGCGAAAGCUUUGCUAAUACCGCAUACGAUCUCAGGAUGAAAGCAGGGGACCGCAAGGCCUUGCGCUCACGGAGCGGCCGAUGGCAGAUUAGGUAGUUGGUGGGAUAAAAGCUUACCAAGCCGACGAUCUGUAGCUGGUCUGAGAGGACGACCAGCCACACUGGGACUGAGACACGGCCCAGACUCCUACGGGAGGCAGCAGUGGGGAAUUUUGGACAAUGGGCGCAAGCCUGAUCCAGCCAUGCCGCGUGCAGGAUGAAGGCCUUCGGGUUGUAAACUGUUUUUGUACGGAACGAAAAGACUCUGGUUAAUACCUGGGGUCCAUG
rnacentral:rRNA from 1 species